GACUAACGCUGGCGGCAUGCAUCAUACAUGCAAGUCGAACGGAUUAGGUUGUAUCAAUACGAUCUAGUUAGUGGCGAACGGGUGAGUAACACGUAGGUAACCUGCCCUUGAGACCGGGAUAACAUGCCGAAAGGCGUGCUAAUACCGGAUGUGACCACGGCCUCGCAUGGGGUGGGUAAAGGUAAGUAGGCAGCAAUGCUAUCGCUUGAGGA
rnacentral:rRNA from 1 species